rnacentral:rRNA from 1 species
UACGGGAGGCAGCAGUGGGGAAUAUUGGACAAUGGGGGCAACCCUGAUCCAGCCAUGCCGCGUGUGUGAAGAAGGCUUUCGGGUUGUAAAGCACUUUCAGUGAGGAGGAAAACUCUGCGACUAAUACUCGUAGGGCUUGACGUUACUCACAGAAGAAGCACCGGCUAACUCCGUGCCAGCAGCCGCGGUAAUACGGAGGGUGCAAGCGUUAAUCGGAAUUACUGGGCGGAUACCUAAAGCGCGCGUAGGUGGUUUGAUAAGCGAGAUGUGAAAGCCCCGGGCUUAACCUGGGAACGGCAUUUCGAACUGUCAGGCUAGAGUAUGGUAGAGGGUAGUGGAAUUUCCUGUGUAGCGGUGAAAUGCGUAGAUAUUGGAAGGAACACCAGUGGCGAAGGCGGCUACCUGGACCAAUACUGACACUGAGGUGCGAAAGCGUUGGGGAGCAAACAGGAUUAGAU